GAUGAACGAGGGGGGGGGGAAGAAUACAGGCAAGUCGAGCGAACAGAUGAGGAGCUUGCUCCUCUGACGUUAGCGGCGGACGGGUGAGUAACACGUGGAUAACCUACCUAUAAGACUGGGAUAACUUCGGGAAACCGGAGCUAAUACCGGAUAAUAUAUUGAACCGCAUGGUUCAAUAGUGAAAGACGGUUUUGCUGUCACUUAUAGAUGGAUCCGCGCCGCAUUAGCUAGUUGGUAAGGUAACGGCUUACCAAGGCAACGAUGCGUAGCCGACCUGAGAGGGUGCUGGGCCACACUGGAACUGAGACACGGUCCAGACUCCUACGGGAGGCAGCAGUAGGGAAUCUUCCGCAAUGGGCGAAAGCCUGACGGAGCAACGCCGCGUGAGUGAUGAAGGUCUUCGGAUCGUAAAACUCUGUUAUUGGGGAAGAACAAAUGUGUAAGUAACUAUGCACGUCUUGACGGUACCUAAUCAGAAAGCCCCGGCUCCCUACGUU
rnacentral:rRNA from 1 species